rnacentral:rRNA from 1 species
UACGUAGGGUGCGAGCGUUAAUCGGAAUUACUGGGCGUAAAGCGUGCGCAGGCGGUUUUGUAAGCCAGGUGUGAAAUCCCCGGGCUCAACCUGGGAAUGGCAUUUGGGACUGCAAGGCUGGAGUGUGGCAGAGGAGACUGGAAUUCCUGGUGUAGCAGUGAAAUGCGUAGAUAUCAGGAGGAACACCGGUGGCGAAGGCGGGUCUCUGGGCAGUAACUGACGCUGAGGAGCGAAAGCGUGGGGAGCGAACAGG